GAUGAACGCUGGCGGCGUGCCUAAUACAUGCAAGUCGAGCGAACAGACGAGAAGCUUGCUUCUCUGAUGUUAGCGGCGGACGGGUGAGUAACACGUGGAUAACCUACCUAUAAGACUGGGAUAACUUCGGGAAACCGGAGCUAAUACCGGAUAAUAUUUUGAACCGCAUGGUUCAAAAGUGAAAGACGGUCUUGCUGUCACUUAUAGAUGGAUCCGCGCUGCAUUAGCUAGUUGGUAAGGUAACGGCUUACCAAGGCAACGAUGCAUAGCCGACCUGAGAGGGUGAUCGGCCACACUGGAACUGAGACACGGUCCAGACUCCUACGGGAGGCAGCAGUAGGGAAUCUUCCGCAAUGGGCGAAAGCCUGACGGAGCAACGCCGCGUGAGUGAUGAAGGUCUUCGGAUCGUAAAACUCUGUUAUUAGGGAAGAACAUAUGUGUAAGUAACUGUGCACAUCUCGACGGUACCUAAUCAGAAAGCCACGGCUAACUACGUG
rnacentral:rRNA from 1 species